rnacentral:lncRNA from 1 species
AAUAAAAGUACAGAGCCUUUUUUUUUAAGACAUCCAAUUCAGUUGUCUAAGACAGUUGUAAGUUGUAUUAAAACAAGGUUUUUACUUAAUAUACAUAAUAUAUUAAAUAUAAAUUUAAGUUUAUUAAUUAAGUUAUAUUAAGACAAUGUCUUAAUCAUAAUAUAUAUUUCAUUUAUUUGAAUGGAAAGUAUUUUAGUUUGUUGUGGAACUAGACUAGAAAUUACCUAAUAAGCUUCUUAUAACUUGUGUAAUGUGUUUAAUUUACGAAUUUGUAUAUUGGUAUAAUCGUAUCAUGCUAUUCCUACAAUAUUAUAACUAACACUGACUCAUAAGCUUGAGUCUCAAGUCACAAAAAAGGCCAACUCUCACGUGUUGGCGGAAAGUUAGCAAAAUAUGUUAAGGACUUAAUUCAGAGAUAAUGUUGCUAAACGAUUUACAGUCGAUAAUCUUUCGAAAGCAGAAAAACUCAGUGUCAAACAAAGAAUACGCGAAUUGUUUGAGAUAUGAUUAAAAUUUGCAAAGAAAGUAAAAAUCAAACUAGUUUCAUUCUUAGUUAUUGUAUAUAAUUUUAAA